rnacentral:rRNA from 1 species
ACAAUAAAUCACAAUGCGGGACUAUUCGUCUUGCAAUUGGAUUGAGAACAAUGUACAACUCUUAUCGAUAAGCCAUUGGAGGGCAAGUCUGGUGCCAGCAGCCGCGGUAAUUCCAGCUCCAAUAGCGUAUAUUAACGUUGUUGCAGUUAAAAAGCUCGUAGUUGAAGUGUGGGUGGUGCCUACUUCAUGACUUCGGUUGUGAGGCAGAUCACUACCCCCUUCCAGUAUCCAGUAGUGGGUAUUCAGUUACUUGCUACUGUGUGUUGGUCAUUUACUGUGAGAAAAUUAGAGUGUUCAAAGCAGGCGUUUGCUUGAAUAGAUUAGCAUGGAAUAAUAAUUGAAGGCUUUCGUGUUCGAUUUGAUUGGUUUGUUCAUGGAAGCAAGGUUAAAAGGAACAGUUGGGGGUAUUCAUAUUCACUAGUUAGAGGUGAAAUUCUCGGAUUUAUGGAAGAUGAACAA